rnacentral:rRNA from 1 species
UGCCCAAUGAGGAUUUAAAUGGCCGCAGUAUUUUGACUGUGCAAAGGUAGCAUAAUUAUUAGUUUUUUAAUUGAAAGCUUGUAUGAAGGGUUGGACGAGAUGAAAUCUGUCUUUAUUUAAAUUAAAAUAUAAUUUAACUUUUAAGUAAAAAGGCUUAAAUGUUUAUAAAAGACGAGAAGACCCUAUAGAUCUUUAUUUAAUUAAAAUUUUAAUAAUUUAGGAUUAUUUUAAUUUAAAGUUUUAAUUAAAUUUUAUUGGGGUAAUAUAAAGAUUAAAUAAAUUCUUUUUAUUUAUAACAUUGAUUUAUGAAUAUAUGAUCCAUUAAUAUUGAUUAUAAGAUUAAGUUACCUUAGGGAUAACAGCGUAAUUUUUUUGGAGAGCUCAUAUCGAUAAAAAAGUUUGCGACCUCGAUGUUGGAUUAAAAAUUAGCUUGGGUGCAGAAGCUCAAGAUUUUGGUCUGUUCGACCAUUAAAUUUUUACAUGAUCUGAGUUCAGACCGGCGUGAGCCAGGUCGGUUUCUAUCUUUAUUAAGAUAAAAUGUUUUAGUACGAAAGGACCAAAUAUUUAAUAUAAUUAUAUUUAUUUUUU